UACGUAGGGGGCAAGCGUUGUCCGGAUUUAUUGGGCGUAAAGAGCGUGUAGGCGGCCAGACAGGUCCGUUGUGAAAACUCGAGGCUCAACCUCGAGACGCCGAUGGAAACCGUCUGGCUAGAGUCCGGAAGAGGAGAGUGGAAUUCCUGGUGUAGCGGUGAAAUGCGCAGAUAUCAGGAAGAACACCCGUGGCGAAGGCGGCUCUCUGGUACGUGACUGACGCUGAGACGCGAAAGCGUGGGGAGCAAACAGG
rnacentral:rRNA from 1 species